rnacentral:lncRNA from 1 species
GGGACCGAGGGCCGCCGAGCGCAACGUCGGGAAGGGCUGGAUACUCCAAGGGCUCGCUCAUUAAAGGAGGAGACUGAGGAGCAGAGAAGUAACAGCGGGUAGUAUUUCAAGGGAUGACUAAGAGAAGAUGUCAGCGGACUUGAAGAGCUGUCAGCUCCAUUAGGGGAGAUGAGCGAAGGCUGACUCUCUGCCAGAAGACACACACGAGGCUCAGGACAUAUCAGGAACUUGCCUGUGGUCACAAUUAUAGAUCCU